CCAAACCUAUAUAUAGUCAUUGCAUAUUAAUUCUGGCCAGGGAUCCCCUGCAGCACUUCAAGGACCCCGAUAAACAUUUGUGGUCUAGGGCAGUAGCUAUUGGCCAUCGCGUGCGCCACAGAACUUUCUGUUUCUGAUAACAGCUUGGAAUGGGGCGGCCAAACAUGCCUGGUACAAAGUAGCAAUGGCAACAACGUAAUAUGGGGCGUCACGCCAUUUGAGCAUGGAUUUAAUUUUGUUUGUUUACACCAUGACGGAAGAAGUCAACAAAUCAACAAUUUGAAGAGCCUGGAAGAAAAUUGGGACAGCUUAUCUGCUUCUCUGUCAUAAAAGGUGACAGUGUCUGCUGGACAGCCUGUUGACAGGUUGGCCUCCUGACAGCAAACAAUUGCUUUCAAUAAAUCACACGGGCCAUUUAAGGACAUGCCUGGACAAACAGCAUCAAUGCUCAGAUGCUGAUUUUAUCAAGGACUUAUCUCUAGUCAGCUUUGAACAUUACACAGCAGGACAUUUGUAAUCAAAUCAAGACCAGGUCAAAACCUAGUGUAUGGCAGGACCAAACCGGCUGACCAAUGGUGUGACUUCAUCAGUCGGUCACUCAGUCACAGACAUGUGCGGUGUAACUUCAUCACUCAGUCAGUCACAGACAUUCGCGUUUAUAGGGCUGUUGCGGUCCAGCCAACAAAGCCACUGAUGUGAUCAUAUUAUAGAAAUACCUAUUUAAAAUUCUUAUUAGAACUACGGACACAGGCUAUAUAGAGAUUUGGCCAUUUCCAAUAUAUUUUGUUAUGUGUGUACACUAUGUGUUGAAUCUGUGUCAGCAACACUAUCUGGUCCAGCUGCCUGAUUAUCUAAUAAUCAGUAUUCUGUCCUUUCUGGACUGGGAGGAUAUUAAGAGUAUAUCUCAAACCUGUAAGAAGCUGUGAUCAGAAAGUGUUGCUUUAACUGGAAGACUACAUAAAGACAAGGGUACAGGAUUCUGGGGAUUUAACGUUUUUCUCCAUUCCCUCAGAAUGAAGCACCAAUCGCCAUUUGGACAGAAAAAUAAAUAUAACACUUUGACAUGA